rnacentral:rRNA from 1 species
AGCGAACGCUGGCGGCAGGCCUAACACAUGCAAGUCGAACGAAGUCUUCGGACUUAGUGGCGGACGGGUGAGUAACACGUGGGAACGUGCCUUUAGGUUCGAAAUAACUCAGGGAAACUUGUGCUAAUACCGAAUGUGCCCUUCGGGGGAAAGAUUUAUCGCCUUUAGAGCGGCCCGCGUCUGAUUAGCUAGUUGGUGAGGUAAAGGCUCACCAAGGCGACGAUCAGUAGCUGGUCUGAGAGGAUGAUCAGCCACAUUGGGACUGAGACACGGCCCAAACUCCUACGGGAGGCAGCAGUGGGGAAUCUUGCGCAAUGGGCGAAAGCCUGACGCAGCCAUGCCGCGUGAAUGAUGAAGGUCUUAGGAUUGUAAAAUUCUUUCACCGGGGACGAUAAUGACGGUACCCGGAGAAGAAGCCCCGGCUAACUUCGAGCCAGCCGCCGCGGUAA